rnacentral:tRNA from 1 species
GGAAAAGUAGUCUAAUAAAGGACGUCGGUUUCAUAAUUCGAAAGUGGUAAAUUAACCCUUUUCUA